AUUUUAAAUUACAAUAAAUUUUGAUAAUUUAUUAAAAAAUAUUAAUACAAAUUAUUUUAAUUGAUAUAAAAUAAUAAUUUUAUAUAUACAACACAUAUUUCAUAUAUUUUAUUUUAAAAUAUCUGAGCUUACAGCUACAACCGAUUUAUCUACAGCUAAUCAUCUACAGCUAAAUUUUUAAAGCCACAGUCGAACCAAUCAGCACCUAUAUUCUUUUUUCUCUUUGUAAUCAUUUGUUUCAGACUAUAUGAUUUUAGUUAAGUAUGGACAUUCUACCAGGACCCAAAAAUAUGUAUUAAAAUAAAUGAAAAUAUAUCUUCUUCAUAAUGAAAAUGGUUACAUAAUGUAUAUAUAGUCAACGAUCUAAGCUAAAGGAGAUUUAGACCAUUGGUACAAUCAUGUAUCUACAUCUUAACCAACUAUACCAGAUAUCUAUAUCACAAUACACCCCCUCAAA
rnacentral:lncRNA from 1 species